AUUGAACGCUGGCGGCAUGCCUUACACAUGCAAGUCGAACGGCAGCACGGGUGCUUGCACCUGGUGGCGAGUGGCGAACGGGUGAGUAAUACAUCGGAACAUGUCCUGCAGUGGGGGAUAGCCCGGCGAAAGCCGGAUUAAUACCGCAUACGAUCCACGGAUGAAAGCGGGGGACCUUCGGGCCUCGCGCUAUAGGGUUGGCCGAUGGCUGAUUAGCUAGUUGGUGGGGUAAAGGCCUACCAAGGCGACGAUCAGUAGCUGGUCUGAGAGGACGACCAGCCACACUGGGACUGAGACACGGCCCAGACUCCUACGGGAGGCAGCAGUGGGGAAUUUUGGACAAUGGGCGAAAGCCUGAUCCAGCAAUGCCGCGUGUGUGAAGAAGGCCUUCGGGUUGUAAAGCACUUUUGUCCGGAAAGAAAUCCUUGGCUCUAAUACAGUCGGGGGAUGACGGUACCGGAAGAAUAAGCACCGGCUAACUACGUG
rnacentral:rRNA from 1 species